GAGUUUGAUCCUGGCUCAGGAUGAACGCUAGCGGCAGGCUUAAUACAUGCAAGUCGUGGGGCAGCACAGGUAGCAAUACUGGGUGGCGACCGGCAAACGGGUGCGGAACACGUACGGAACCUUCCUUUAAGCGGGGGAUAGCCCAGGGAAACUUGGAUUAAUACCCCAUAAGAAUGUAGAGUGGCAUCACUCAGCAUUUAAAGCUACGGCACUUAAAGAUGGGCGUGCGGCUGAUUAGGUAGUUGGCGGGGUAACGGCCCACCAAGCCGACGAUCAGUAACUGGUGUGAGAGCACGACCAGUCACACGGGCACUGAGACACGGGCCCGACUCCUACGGGAGGCAGCAGUAAGGAAUAUUGGUCAAUGGACGCAAGUCUGAACCAGCCAUGCCGCGUGGAGGAUGAAGGCCCUCUGGGUUGUAAACUUCUUUUAUCUGGGAAGAAACCGGACUUUUCUAAGGCCGUUGACGGUACCAGAUGAAUAAGCACCGGCUAACUCCGUGCCAGCAGCCGCGGUAAUACGGAGGGUGCAAGCGUUAUCCGGAUUCACUGGGUUUAAAGGGUGCGUAGUGGGCAGGUAAGUCAGUGGUGAAAUCUCUGGGCUUAACCCGGAAACUGCCGUUGAUACUAUCUGUCUUGAAUAUAGUGGAGGUGAGCGGAAUAUGUCAUGUAGCGGUUGAAAUGCUUAGAUAUGACAUAGAACAUCGAUUGCGAAAGGCAGCUCGCUACACUAUGAUUGACACCUGAC
rnacentral:rRNA from 1 species